AUGGCGACCGGCGCACGGGUGAGUAACACGUAUCCAACCUUCCGUACACUCAGGGAUAGCCUUUCGAAAGAAAGAUUAAUACCUGAUGGUAUCUUAAGCACGCAUGUAAUUAAGAUUAAAGAUUUAUCGGUAAGCGAUGGGGAUGCGUUCCAUUAGGUAGUAGGCGGGGUAACGGCCCACCUAGCCGACGAUGGAUAGGGGUUCUGAGAGGAAGGUCCCCCACAUUGGAACUGAGACACGGUCCAAACUCC
rnacentral:rRNA from 1 species